rnacentral:rRNA from 1 species
UACGUAGGUGGCAAGCGUUGUCCGGAUUUACUGGGCGUAAAGGAUGCGUAGGCGGACAUUUUAAGUCAGAUGUGAAAUACCCCGAGCUUAACUUGGGUGCUGCAUUUGAAACUGGGUGUCUAGAGUGCAGGAGAGGUAAGUGGAAUUCCUAGUGUAGCGGUGAAAUGCGUAGAGAUUAGGAAGAACACCAGUGGCGAAGGCGACUUACUGGACUGUAACUGACGCUGAGGCAUGAAAGCGUGGGGAGCAAACAGG